UAGUGGCGAACGGGUGAGUAACACGUGGGCAAUCUGCCCUUCACUCUGGGACAAGCCCUGGAAACGGGGUCUAAUACCGGAUAUGAGCCGGAACUGCAUGGUUCUGGUUGUAAAGCUCCGGCGGUGAAGGAUGAGCCCGCGGCCUAUCAGCUUGUUGGUGAGGUAAUGGCUCACCAAGGCGACGACGGGUAGCCGGCCUGAGAGGGCGACCGGCCACACUGGGACUGAGACACGGCCCAGACUCCUACGGGAGGCAGCAGUGGGGAAUAUUGCACAAUGGGCGAAAGCCUGAUGCAGCGACGCCGCGUGAGGGAUGACGGCCUUCGGGUUGUAAACCUCUUUCAGCAGGGAAGAAGCGAAAGUGACGGUACCUGCAGAAGAAGCGCCGGCUAACUACGUGCCAGCAGCCGCGGUAAUACGUAGGGCGCAAGCGUUGUCCGGANUUAUUGGGCGUAAAGAGCUCGUAGGCGGCUUGUCACGUCGAUUGUGAAAGCUCGGGGCUUAACCCCGAGUCUGCAGUCGAUACGGGCUAGCUAGAGUGUGGUAGGGGAGAUCGGAAUUCCU
rnacentral:rRNA from 1 species